UAGGGAAUCUUCCACAAUGGACGAAAGUCUGAUGGAGCAACGCCGCGUGAGUGAAGAAGGGUUUCGGCUCGUAAAGCUCUGUUGUUAAAGAAGAACACGUAUGAGAGUAACUGUUCAUACGUUGACGGUAUUUAACCAGAAAGUCACGGCUAACUACGGCCAG
rnacentral:rRNA from 1 species